UAGGGAAUCUUCCGCAAUGGGCGAAAGCCUGACGGAGCAACGCCGCGUGAGUGAUGAAGGUCUUCGGAUCGUAAAGCUCUGUUGUUAAGGAAGAACGAGUGUGAGAAUGGAAAGUUCAUACUGUGACGGUACUUAACCAGAAAGGGACGGCUAACUACGUGCCAGCAGCCGCGGUAAUACGUAGGGCGCAAGCGUUAUCCGGAAUUAUUGGGCGUAAAGAGCUUGUAGGCGGUUCGUCGCGUCUGGUGUGAAAGCCCAUCGCUUAACGGUGGGUUUGCGCCGGGUACGGGCGGGCUAGAGUGCAGUAGGGGAGGCUGGAAGUCUCGGUGUAACGGUGGAAUGUGUAGAUAUCGGGAAGAACACCAAUGGCGAAGGCAGGUCUCUGGGCUGUUACUGACGCUGAGAAGCGAAAGCGUGGGGAGCGAACAGG
rnacentral:rRNA from 1 species